UGGGGAAUAUUGGGCAAUGGGCGAAAGCCAGACCCCGCCAUGCCGCGUGAGUGAUGAAGGCCUUAGGGUUGUACAGCUCUUUUACCAGGGAUGAUAAUGACAGUACCUGGAGAAUAAGCUCCGGCUAACUCCGUGCCAGCAGCCGCGGUAAUACGGAGGGAGCUAGCGUUGUUCGGAAUUACUGGGCGUAAAGCGCGCGUAGGCUGCUAUUCAAGUCAGGGGUGAAAUCCCGGGGCUCAACCCCGGAACUGCCCUUGAAACUAGGUAGCUAGAAUACUGGAGAGGUGAGUGGAAUUCCGAGUGUAGAGGUGAAAUUCGUAGAUA
rnacentral:rRNA from 1 species